UACGUAGGGUGCGAGCGUUGUCCGGAAUUACUGGGCGUAAAGAGCUUGUAGGUGGUUUGUCGCGUUGUUCGUGAAAACUCACAGCUCAACUGUGGGCGUGCGGGCGAUACGGGCAGACUAGAGUACUGCAGGGGAGACUGGAAUUCCUGGUGUAGCGGUGGAAUGCGCAGAUAUCAGGAGGAACACCGAUGGCGAAGGCAGGUCUCUGGGCCAUUACUGACACUGAGGAGCGAAAGCGUGGGGAGCGAACAGG
rnacentral:rRNA from 1 species